rnacentral:tRNA from 1 species
GAGGCUAUAGCUCAGUGGUAGAGUGCAUACACAAGGUCCUGGGUUCAAUCCCCAGUACCUCCU